AAAUGCAGUCAGCAAGAGAAGAAAAGAAAAUAGAACUGGAGAAAGAGAGAGAGGAGAAACAAAGAAAUCAAAAAGCCUGGGAGGAGGAACGCAGAGAAUGGUGGGAAAAACAGAAAGAAGAAGAAGAAAAGAGAAAGCAGGAAGAGCAGAAACGACUGAAGGAACUCGAGGAACAGUUAGAAAAGGAAAGAGAGAUUCGUGUACAGAAAGUCAAGGAGGAGAUCAAGAUCAAGAAAGAACUGGAAGAAAAAGAAAAGAAAUAUAAGGAAGAACAGGAGAAUCUCCUGAAGAAGUUUGAGGAAGAAGCCAGAAAAAGAGCUGAAGAGAAGAAUGAAUUCAUGACAAAACAUGCAGCUCUGAAGGAAACAUACACCAGUCAACUGAAGGACAAAGAGGAGAAGUACGACUUAUUAAAGGCACUGAAAGAAACAAAGGAAAGAGAAAAAAGGCACAAAUAUCAAGAAGAAAUCCGUGACUUAGUGAAGUGUGUGUCUAAAAAGAAAGAAAAUCUGCCUGAAAUCAAAAAUCUGCUGAUAAAACAGGAAGAAGAAAUGAAAAAUACUCCAACUCAGGAACAAGAAAACCUACAAACAAAACAUGAAGAUGAAAUAAGUGAUCUGAUACAAAAACUUCUGACUGAAGUUGAAGAAAAAUCUUCCUGCUGUAUUUUAUGAAAUUCCAGCCUAAUUUUUCUCUGUCCUCUAAAGAAGUCUUUCUACAGAAAAAUGAAUCUCCUGAAUUUACCAAAACAAUCAGAUCAGAGACUCUGGAAGGACGACUACUGCAUGGAGGAUGACGCUUCAUCUUCCAGGAGGAAAUGUGUUUGGAUGAUCAGCAAUCACUUCAAUAUUUGGUGAAAUCAAACCAUAAACAGCAACAAAAGAACUUUCCUAACUCUCAGUGAGAAAAAACUGAAGGGACAGAACAGAAAAGAACAGAAACUAAAUGGACAAAAAGCUUCAGGUUGUUCAAGAACAGAAAGUUUCAACUCUGGAUAAACAGUUUUUUAACUUGAUAUUGGUAUGUUAUCUGUGGGAGACACAGAACUCAGCAGAACACCACAGACAACAACUGGAACAAGAGAAACACAAAAGCUCCAUUUAACUAGGAGUGGGUCUUCAUGGUGUGAAGGGUCCAUCUCCAUUUUAUUUCGUCUCUCCUGUAAUCCAUGGACACCAGUGAAGAUCACAAAUCAUUGAAGAAAAAAGGUUCAGUGCACUGUCUAGUGGGUCUAGAUGACCCAACUCCCAAUGUUAAAGUGCCUAGGAUAGCACAAGGGUUACGGUGGACCUUAUCCAGCUCCUUUGCUGGAUCAAAGGAUUGAUCCGUGAUCUAACAUUUACAGAAGGACAGCUGUAGAUUGUUCUAACUCUCUUAAGAUCAUGUGUUGACGAACAAGGACCUUCAUUAAACAAAAACAAAUGUGCUGCGGAUGGUAAUUACAGAAAUGCAGACCAGUUCAUUUGUCCAAUGGUUCUGAUACGUUGUCCUGGUCCGAUGUUGUGGCUGUUGUUGCUGAUGAAAUAUGUAGAAUCACAGAAUAUUAUUUAGACUGAAUACUAGAUGUUGUUUAAGCUCCAUCUCCAUUUUACUUUGUCUCAACUCCCUAUAACGCACAUGUCCAAAGUCCGGCAUGGGUCAUCCAGUUUUUCAUCUGCCCACAAGCUGUCAUUAAAGCAAUAAUCUACGACCCCCA